CUUUUGUCACCUUUUGAUAUCUGCAGACCUUUUUUGCCCAGGACAAACACCAUUGAAAUAGCUUUCAAGCUCUUCAUUCAAUUUGCCUGCACCUAUUUUGCUGCUUCUCCGUCAGAGUUAUCUUUGCCCAUUUGUUCUUUUUAGGCUUUUGAAUUUAUUUUGGUUCCAUGCCUUCUAUAUCUUUGGGAAUGGUUCUCAGAUGCUUAGGAUCAUAUCAAUAGGGCAAGAUUGAUGUAAGUAUUUCUUAGCUUUUAAAUUCUGGUUCUUUUGAUGUGAUCUUAGAAUGAUGGAGUUCUGUGUAUGAAAGUAAAAAGAGCUUUUCCUGGAUGGAUGGAAGCAAAAAGAGCUCUUCUUGGAUGGAUGAAGGUGAUAAAUCGAGAGUUCUCUUCUACCAAUCAAUUCUUUGUUUGUGUUCUUUGCCUAAAACUCACUGGCGUUCGUUGGUAAUGGCUUAACUAUUGUCUUCAUUUUAGGGAAGUUUGGAUCGGAGCAUUCUCAUCAUGUUGUUACCUUGCUAUUCGGGCUUAACAAGAUUUUGGAGGACCUCUCUUUCCCUGCUUGUUUUCUGCUGUUUUGUUGAAGUUGAUUAGGACAUUUGUGUAUUUGCUCUGCUUGUUCUCUAAUUUUCUAUAUUACUAGGGCGUUGCAACUCAUUGUUCCAGUGAAGUGAUUCGUGAUUCAAACUUGUCUUUCCAUCCUCAGAACAAGGGCUUGUAAAAUUUUUUGGAGGGAGUUAUUUUCUGACCGAUGCUAAUUGUUCUUUUGUGCUUGAGGAAUUUAGGAGUUUUGACACCUUAUUUAUAAUAUAAUUUGUCUGUGCAUCUUUUUGGUCUGCAGCAUGUCAUGCAGAGUCAACUUUCCUGAUCCACUAUGAAUGAAUAGAACGGGUUGUAACCAAGUGCAUAUCUUUGCUAUUCAACAGUUUAUUUCGGGAAAAACUGUCUAUGAAUGCUUUCAACCUACCCAUUCCAUUCACCUAAGGUUAGCAUUUUUUUGGCUUUUGGAUUUGAUGGACUAGCUUAAUCCAGGCUUUUCUUUGGGGAUGGUUCUGUGCUACUCAGUAUAUAACAGGAAGUAGAUUCCGUCAUCAAACAUUUUUGUAUCGGUGGGGGGUUCCUGGUAUCUUGCUUAGUCAGCUUGAUCUGAAGAAGAGUUAAGGCUAUGCAUAUUGGUUUGAUCGAAUGGUAAAUUGUCGACAGUUUUUAUUUGAGGAUAAUUCUCAUCUUUGUGCCAAGUCUUCUGAUCCAUUCCUUUACUGAGGGUGGUGACUGGGCCUGGGCUUUUGGAUGCCAUUCUUCUUAGAAUUAUGGGAUGCGAUUCUUCUUGGAAUUAUGUAAUGGAUGUGAAUGUGAUCCUUAAUUUUGCUUUCUGCUUUAUUUUUGCAUUGCCCCUAGAUUUGAUUGAACAAGGACUUGACGCUAAUUACUAU
rnacentral:lncRNA from 1 species